CAAUAGCGUAUAUUAAAGUUGUUGCGGUUAAAAGCUCGUAGUUGGAUUUCUGCCGAGGACGACCGGUCCGCCCUCUGGGUGAGCAUCUGGAUCGGCCUGGGCAUCCUCUUGGGGAACGUAGCUGCACUUGACUGUGUGGUGCGGUAUCCAGGACUUUUACUUUGAGGAAAUUAGAGUGUUUCAAGCAGGCUUCCGCCUUGAAUACAUUAGCAUGGAAUAAUAAGAUAGGACCUCGGUUCUAUUUUGUUGGUUUCUAGAAUCAGGAUAAUGAUUAAUAGGGAUAAUUGGGGCAUUUGGUAUUAACGCGUCAGAGGUGGAAUUCUUGGAUUGCGUUACGACAAACUACUGCGAAAGCAUUUGCCAAGGAUGUUUUCAUUGAUCAAGAACGAAAGUAUGGGGAUCGAAGAUGAUUAGAU
rnacentral:rRNA from 1 species